rnacentral:rRNA from 1 species
CACUUCUAAGGAAGGCAGCAGGCGCGCAAAUUACCCAAUCCUGACUCAGGGAGGUAGUGACAAGAAAUAACAAUAAACCGGCUUAUGCCGGUUUAAUUGGAAUGAGUACAAUUUAAACAUCUUAACGAGGAACAAUUGGAGGGCAAGUCUGGUGCCAGCAGCCGCGGUAAUUCCAGCUCCAAUAGCGUAUACUAAAGUUGUUGCAGUUAAAAAGCUCGUAGUUGGAUUUCUGUGGGGACGGAGCGGCCGGCCGCAACUCGCGGUUCGAGCUAGCGCUUUCCCUACAUCCUGCCGCGAACCGUGCUACCAUUAAUUUGGUGGCGCCGGGGAUCGGCUCGAUUACUUUGAGAAAAAUAGAGUGUUCAAAGCAGGCCACACGCCUUGAAUAAGUUAGCAUGGAAUAAUAACUAAGGACUUCGGUUCUAUUUUGUUGGUGUUCGGGACUGAAGUAAUGAUUGAUAGGGACAGUUGGGGCGGUCUGUAUUCCAAAGCGAGAGGUGAAAUUCUUAGACCUUCGGAAGACAAACAGCUGCGAAAGCGUUCCGCAAGGAUGUUCCCUUUGAUCAAGAACGAAAGUUGGGGGAUCGAAGACGAUCAGAUACCGUCGUAGUCUCAACUAUAAACUAUACCAGCUAGGGAUCGGCCAACGUUAUUUUAUACCGACUUGGUCGGCACCUUAUGAGAAAUCAAAGCAUCUGGGUUCCGGGGGGAGUAUGGUCGCAAGGCUGAAACUUAAAGGAAUUGACGGAAGGGCACCACCAGCCGUGGAGCCUGUGGCUUAAUUUGACUCAACACGGGAAAACUUACCAGGUCCAGACAUAGUAAGGAUUGACAGAUUGAUAGCUCUUUCUUGAUUCUGUGGGUGGUGGUGCAUGGCCGUUCUUAGUUGGUGGAGUGAUUUGUCUGGUUAAUUCCGUUAACGAACGAGACCCCAGCCUGCUAAAUAGCGCGCGUGAGCUUUGCUCGCGGCGAGCUUCUUAGAGGGACUAUGAUGCGCGAUAGCACAUGGAAGUUUGGGGCAAUAACAGGUCUGUGAUGCCCUUAGAUGUUCUGGGCCGCACACGGGCUACACUGGCGCCUGCAACGAGCAUAUCAGCUGGCCCGAGAGGGUCUUGGCUAAUCUUUUGAACCGGCGCCGUGCUUGGGAUUGACCUUUGCAAUUGUUGGUCAUGCAACGAGGAAUGCCUUGUAAACGCGAGUCAUCAGCUCGCAUUGAAUACGUCCCUGCCCUUUGUACACACCGCCCGUCGCUCCUACCGAUGAAUGUUCCGAUGAAAUUUUCGGAGAGCACCUGUGAACUUGGCUCUGCCUUGCGAACGGGAGGCUCAAAGUCACUUAAAUCUGAACAUUUCGAGG